CUCAAUGAAAUUAAAUAGCCGCAAUAUUUUGUGCAAAGGUAGCAUAAUCAUUUGUCUUUUAAUUAAAGACUAGAACGAAAGAUUUAAUAUUUUUAUUUCUUUCUAAUAUAUAAUUAUUUAAUUUAUUUCAAAUAUAAAAAAAUAUUUAUCUUUAAAGAAGACGAUAAGACCCUAUUGAACUUAACUAAAGUUAAACUGGGGUAGUUAAUUAAAUACAAUUUUAAUUUAAAUUUUAAAAACAACCUAAUAUAAUUAAAACUAUCAAGUUACCAUAGGGAUAACAGCGUAAUAAUUUUCCUAAGUUCUUAUUAAAAAAAUUGUUUGCGACCUCGAUGUUGAAUUAAUAAUCUAUUAAAUGCAAUAACUUAAUAAGAAAGUCUGUUCGACUU
rnacentral:rRNA from 1 species